rnacentral:ncRNA from 1 species
UGUUAUCGUAAUAGUAAUUGAACUUAGUACGAGAGGAACCGUUCAUUCAGAUAUUUGGUAUUUGCGCCUGUCCGAUCGGGCAAUGGCGCGAAGCUAUCAUCUGCUGGAUUAUGGCUGAACGCCUCUAAGCCAGAAUCCGUGCUAGAAACGAUGAUGUUGGUCCCGCACAUACGAGUUGUGUUAAAAUAGAGCUUUGCUCGUGAACCAAAUCUGGUCGGCUGGGCCAAUCGAGCGGAAAUGCUUGGUUGGUUUGUCGGCGAAUUGCAAUAAUCAUAUGGGCGGGGGUGAAUCCUUUGCAGACGACUUGAAUGGGAACGGGGUACUGUAAGCAGUAGAGUAGCCUUGUUGCUACGAUCUGCUGAGGUUAAGCCCUUGUUCUAUAGAUUU